rnacentral:rRNA from 1 species
ACAUGCAGUCGAGCGGACAGAUGGGAGACUUGCUCCCUGAUGUUAGCGGCGGACGGGUGAGUAACACGUGGGUAACCUGCCUGUAAGACUGGGAUAACUCCGGGAAACCGGGGCUAAUACCGGAUGGUUGUUUGAACCGCAUGGUUCAAACAUAAAAGGUGGCUUCGGCUACCACUUACAGAUGGACCCGCGGCGCAUAGCUAGUUGGUGAGGUAACGGCUCACCAAGGCAACGAUGCGUAGCCGACCUGAGAGGGUGAUCGGCCACACUGGGACUGAGACACGGCCCAGACUCCUACGGGAGGCAGCAGUAGGGAAUCUUCCGCAAUGGACGAAAGUCUGACGGAGCAACGCCGCGUGAGUGAUGAAGGUUUUCGGAUCGUAAAGCUCUGUUGUUAGGGAAGAACAAGUACCGUUCGAAUAGGGCGGUACCUUGACGGUACCUAACCAGAAAGCCACGGCUAACUACGUGCCAGCAGCCGCGGUAAUACGUAGGUGGCAAGCGUUGUCCGGAAUUAUUGGGCGUAAAGGGCUCGCAGGCGGUUUCUUAAGUCUGAUGUGAAAGCCCCCGGCUCAACCGGGGAGGGUCAUUGGAAACUGGGGAACUUGAGUGCAGAAGAGGAGAGUGGAAUUCCACGUGUAGCGGUGAAAUGCGUAGAGAUGUGGAGGAACACCAGUGGCGAAGGCGACUCUUUGGUCUGUAACUGACGCUGAGGAGCGAAAGCGUGGGGAGCGAACAGGAUUAGAUACCCUGGUAGUCCCACGCCGUAACGAUGAGUGCUAAGUGUUAGGGGGGUUUCCGGCCCUUUAGUGCUGCAGCUACGCAUAAGCACUCCGCCCGGGGGAGGUACGGUCGCCAGGACUGAAACUCAAAGGAUUUGACGGGGGGCCGCAAUAGCGGGUGGAGCAUGUUGGUUUAAUUCAAGCAACCGGGAAAAACCUUACCAGGGCUUGACGUCCUCUGACAAUUCCUAGAGUUGGACGGUCCCUUUCGAGGGGCACAGAUGACCGGGUGGUGUAGGUGUUCGUCAGCUCUCGGUCUAGAGAAUAUGAGGUUAAAGUCCGCAACGAGGGCAACCUG